ACGCGCGUCCGUUGUGGUUGCGUCACUAUCAUGUCUUUCGAGGACAUUAUCCUAAAAGUUAAGGCGCAUCCCGAGUUAUGGUUGUGCACUCAUCAGUAUUACAGAAAUAGAGCCGUAUGCUCACGCACUUGGAAACAAAUUACUAAAGAACUGGAUGCUGAUGAAUGGACAGUUAAGAAAAGGUGGAAGCAUUUAAAGGACCAAUAUAGAAAAGAACUCAAAAAAAUAUUAUCAAAACGCUUGGCGAUGUCAAACUGGCAUUACUACAAUGACCUGAGCUUCAUAACCAAUGAAGUGUUAACCGGAAGACAUGGAGUCAAUAAAAAUGUUGACUCUAAUAACGUUGCAUCAGAAAACGAAUCAGAUAGCGACGAACAGCCACUUUUAAAAACAAAAAAAAAUCAACAUGAACGUACCAACAGACAGUCGACCUCAUCGGCUCUUGUAAGGCGUGGUUUAAACGCAAAUAAAAAGCCUUUGAUAAUGAAACAAUUAAAAGAAUUAAAAGAUUUGAUUCAAAGCAAGAAUAAAACAAUGGAAGAUGAAUUGAGAAAUGAUGCCGAUUAUCUGUUUUUAAUAAGCCUAUUGCCGACCAUAAGGAAGCUGUCAGAUCUACAAAAAUUACACUUCAGAGGUAAAGUUAACGAGUGGCUACUAGAAACUCUGUCGCAAUACCAGUUUACGAAUGAUUGUGAUAAUAAAAUAUACGUCCAAGAUCAAUUAAAUGAAAGUCAACCUUGAAGUUGAUUUAUAUGCAAAAACACAAGUCUUGAGAAAUUUUUGAAGCUGCGUAUGUUUAUAGUAUUAUGUUAGAAACGUUUUAAAGUAAAACUCUUAAAACAGAA